GGUUCUGUAGCUCAGUUGGUAGAGCAGAGGCCUGAAGAGCCUUGUGUCGCUGGUUCAAGUCCAGCCGGAACCACCA
rnacentral:tRNA from 2 species